UCGCUCCUGUCUUUACCUCCGCAGUAGUGGGGGUCACAAGCCUGCACCACCAUACCCAGCUUCUGUAUGUGGGUUCUAGGGCUCAGACUUGGCUCCUCGCGGCGCUUGCACAGAAAGCACCUUACCAACCCGGUAAUCUCCCCAGCCCCUGUGCUAUACUCACAACAACAACAACAACAAACAAACAAACAAACAAACCUACACUCAGUGCAAAGCACUGUAAUCUGAGCUUGUAGUAGGAAUGUCAGAAAAACAGACACCAUUAGAAUUCAGUAGAAAUAUUAGCAGUUCUGGGCACUAUUGGUAUUGUUUUAACAAUAUCAUUUAUGAUUUAUACAUUGUGAGUAGAAAAAUCAUAAGUUAAACUUAUGUUAUUAAGAAUCAGGAUCUCUGAGCUGGAGUGAUGGCUCAGCGGUUAAGAGCACUGACUGCUCUUCUGAAGGUCAUGAGUUCAAAUCUCAGCAACCACGUGAUGGUUCACAACCAUCCGUAAUGAGAUCUGAUGCCCUUUUCUGGGGUGUCUGGAGGCAGCUAUAGUGUACUUACAUAUAGUAAAUAAAUAAAUCUUUAAAAAAAAAAAAAAAAAAAACAAAGAAUCAGGAUCUUUGGUGUGGAAGAAAAGGAGACAAAGAUAAAUCUAGUUUUCAUGGGUACCUCCUUCUACCCAGAUUCUGGACUGUUCAACACUGAAAAGAGCUGAGGAACUGGACACAAAUGACUUAAUAUCCAUUUGAGACAAGAAAUAUAUUUAGUACUUUUUCAUACUAGAAGCAAAUGAGUUACUAAAGCAACGAGUUCGUAUCAAAAGGGCUUUUGAGUCAUCUCAGAACUGACUAGAAAUGGAGUGAUCUAAACUUCAAUGAGAAUGUUAACAGCAGCAAAUUGAAACAAUUCAAAACAGAGGAGCUUAGAACAACUUACAGUACAUCCAAACAUACAACACCUGCAACCAAGCUCCUUACAAGCUGUAGGAUGGAGCCCAUUUUGAAAGAAUGAAGUGGAAUGUGAGAGGCUUGGUUGGAAGUACUUGUCCUGCCUUUUCUAAGUAAGCAGUACAAGUUCCUCUUUGGAAAAACAUUCUAGUCAUAAAUAAGAGUGCAAACAUCAUCACUUGCCAACCCUGAAGAGGUAAUGAGCCUAGCCAGUGGCCACCAGAAACCACCUGUGUCACAGGCUGAUGCUGGCCACCAACCCUGAAGAGGUAAUGAGCCUAGCCAGUGGCCACCAGAAACCACCUGUGUCACAGGCGGAUGCUGGCCAGAUGUGCUUUAGAGCAGGAACAUAACUCCACCCAAAUCAAAUCUGACUAAUCUUAGUGCAAUUAUGUGUGGAGUUUCCCAGCCUUUUGGGAAGACAGGGAAAACAGGGCUGGGAAGACAGGGAAAAGUGACUCUGAUCACUGUGCCUUGUCCCUGAAUCUCCUUGGCUUUCCAAGGCACUGCAUAGUCCCUUCACGUCUUCCCACUUGCUUUUUAUGAGCUCUCUUUUUCAGUCCAUAUUUUCUGAGUAUUUCUCAGAACCCUCGACUUAAACAAACAUCACCUCCUGGAUGCUCGCUCUGCCCACGGUAACCACUGCACUUUGCCUUCAUCGGCCAUUUCACUGUGUAUUUGAAAAAUCUCUUCUAAAACAAAACCCCAGACUGGGGAUGAGGUUCAGUGGCGUUUGAAGGCUCUGGGCUUGGUCCAUAGCACUGCAAACAAACAAACAAAUCUACACGAGAGGAGGGCAUUGCAUUCCAGAUUGCUCUCUACCAUCCCUAACACCUAAAUGUGGGUAUGACACACAGUAGGUAUUUGACAAAUAUUUCUUAGUUGAACUCUCUAUGCAGCAAUAUUUCUUAGAUGACAGCAAAAGUGUGAAACACCAGCAACCAGUUCUAGUAAAUUAAGCACACACAAACAAGCUUAGUCCACUUUUAAAUUCUCCUCUAGAGCUGGCCUUGGAGAAACAUGCUGCAAUCCCAGGCAGCCUGGUCUCCAGAGGGAGCUCCAGUCAAAUACAUUGCGGUGUCAGACUGUCUCCCAACAAUACAAACUAAAAAGUGAACAAAUAACAAAACAAAGUUAACCCUGCUAUUGUGGUUAUGGACCACACCCUACUGAUGGAGCUCAGUAAGGAUGAAGAACGCUCAGCUGACCCAGGCUUAGGAUAGGCCGUACCCAUCACCGUGGCCAAGCUUAGCAUUCUAUUAAGGACCAGAUCGCUUUAUAGUUAUUUGUCUUGAUGUGAUUCAAAGAUAAUGUAUCUUACACAGAUUCUUUUAUUUGGAACUAUAAACCUGGAAGGGAUAACCUACGCACUAUUUAUUCCUUUGUACCUUAAAACGCAAAGGUACAAGGUACACAACAUAAUGAAAUAAUCACAGAUCCCCUCACAAACAGCACAUUUACAGGACUAGUGUGGAAUCAUCAAUGGUGACAUACAAAAAGGAGCAUGCCAUUCCCCAUCACAGGACAUGUACACACCUGGGAGGAGCCCACCUCUUCCUACAGAGGGCUUUUGGAACAGAUGGAAAUCUGUUAGGUCAGGCUGGUAGAGAGUGGACAGGGCUUCAAAAAAGUGUAGCACUGGACCAUCAGCUGCCAGCCGCCUGUCUCAGGCAUCUCCACUUAGUUGCAGACAGUAGUCAUUUCGAUGUUCCUUGGACACUGUGAUGCCUGUCGGCUUCCAAUUUUAUCAUGCACAUGUUCAGCUUUGUGCCAACAAAGAAUUGUUUUGAAAUGGAAAGGAAGUGUUCCCUGAGAGUAAGAAAGUAAGUUCACUUUUGGAAUGCUUUUUUCUUUUUCUUUUUGUUUUAACAUAUUCAAAAGCCAAGUCUUUGUUUUCCUUUAAGCAGGUAACCUGGGCAGACUUCUACUGGGAUAUCUGCAGCACCACACUUUUGGUUUUAAAGCCUGGCUUGUUGGAUAUCUACCCCAAACUGGUGUCAUUACGGAACAAAGUCCAAGCUAUCCCUGCCAUUUCUGCCUGGAUACUAAAGAGGCCACAGACAAAACUCUAGAUGAAUCAGGACCCAUCAUCAGAUGAGAACUCCAUUAGCUGGCUAGAGGAUCCACAUACUUCUCACCAAUAGGACUGUAACUUUGUAGUACUCUGCUUGCUGUGUAUAGCAACUCAAGGGGUGUUGCAGUUUUGUCUUUAUCUGCAGGCACUUAGUUUCCAAUCUUUUAUUUUUUCAAAACUUUACACUUUAUAAUUGCAGGGAAAUAGUUCACAAUAUAUGUAGUUGUGCAUAUCAAGAUGUAUGGAAGCUUUAAACAACACUAGUUUCCUGGCUAGGGUAUCAGUCAACACAGUAUCUUAACUAUGAGUAAGCAUAGUUAACUAUGAAAUACAGAUUUUGCAGCUAGCUCUUCAAUCAGCAAAUUCCUACACAGAAACUAAUGGUCAUUAUAAUGAUCACUAACUACUGCAUGUUAUUCAGGUAUACACCAAAGUGUAUAAGCUACUUCACAAAAAUACACAUCUGUCUGACAUGUCACAAAAUGGGUAAUAAAGAAGAAACUCAUCAAGAUUAAAGGACAGCCAAGAAAAGUGAUGUUGAAGUUUAAUUGAAAUUCCACAAAAUGGAGUAACAAAAAGUUACUGAGUUCAGCAUUGUUGCAAUUCAGAAGGCUGUAGAGACAAGGAAAGGAGCUGUGACAUAGAAAGUUCGAUACCCCAGAGACAAGAGACAGAGGGUUACAAUAAUCUUUCACAUGAGAAAAACAAAAGCAGGCUGGAGAGAUGGCUCAGCAAUUAGCACUGACUGCUCUUCCAGAGGUUCUGAGUUCAAUUCCCAGCAAACCACAUGGUGGUUCACAACUAUCUGUAAUGGGAUCUGAUCUUCUGGUGUAUCUGAAGAGAACGACAGUGUACUCACAUACAUACAAUAAAGAAAUCUAGCCG
rnacentral:lncRNA from 1 species